rnacentral:rRNA from 1 species
UACGAGGGGGGCUAGCGUUGCUCGGAAUGACUGGGCGUAAAGGGCGCGUAGGCGGAUGGCACAGUCAGAUGUGAAAUUCCCGGGCUUAACCUGGGGGCUGCAUUUGAUACGUGUUGUCUUGAGUUCGGAAGAGGGUCGUGGAAUUCCCAGUGUAGAGGUGAAAUUCGUAGAUAUUGGGAAGAACACCGGUGGCGAAGGCGGCGACCUGGUCCGACACUGACGCUGAGGCGCGAAAGCGUGGGGAGCAAACAGG